UGCCAGCAGCCGCGGUAACACGGGGGGCGCAAGCGUUAUUCGGAAUUAUUGGGCGUAAAGCGCGUGUAGGCGGUUCGUUAAGUCUGAUGUGAAAGCCCGGGGCUCAACCCCGGAAGUGCAUUGGAUACUGGCAGUCUUGAGUAUGGGAGGGGAAAGUGGAAUUCCGAGUGUAGGAGUGAAAUCCGUAGAUAUUCGGAGGAACACCAGUGGCGAAGGCGGCUUUCUGGACCAAUACUGACGCUGAGAUGCGAAAGCGUGGGGAGCGAACAGGAUUAGAUA
rnacentral:rRNA from 1 species